rnacentral:rRNA from 1 species
CGGAUGACCUUCGGGUCAUUAGUGGCGCACGGGUGCGUAACGCGUAAGCAACCUACCUACUACUGGGGGAUAGCCCUGGGAAACCGGGAGUAAACCCGCAUGGUAUCACUGACCUUCCUGGGUUGAUGAUUAAAGAUUUAUUGGUAGUAGAUGGGCUUGCGUUGGAUUAGCUAGAUGGCGGGGUAACGGCCCACCAUGGCGAUGAUCCAUAGGGGCUCUGAGAGGAGCGGCCCCCACACUGGCACUGAGACACGGGCCAGACUCCUACGGGAGGCAGCAGUAGGGAAUAUUGGGCAAUGGACGAAAGUCUGACCCAGCCAUGCCGCGUGCAGGAUGAAGGCGCUCAGCGUUGUAAACUGCUUUUGAUAGGGAAGAACGGCCUUCUUGCGAGAAGGUGUGACGGUACCUACAGAAUAAGCACCGGCUAACUCCGUGCCAGCAGCCGCGGUAAUACGGAGGGUGCAAGCGUUGUCCGGAUUUAUUGGGUUUAAAGGGUGCGUAGGUGGCUUUUUAAGUCUGACCUGAAAGUGGGCCGCUUAACGGCACAGGGUGGUUGGAUACUGAAGAGCUUGAAGAGGGUGGAGGCCGCCGGAACGGAUCGUGUAGCGGUGAAAUGCAUAGAGAUGAUCCAGAACCCCGAUUGCGUAGGCAGGCGGCUACGCCCCACUUGACACUGAGGCACGAGAGCAUGGGGAGCAAACAGGAUUAGAUACCCUGGUAGUCCAUGCCGUAAACGAUGAUAACUCGCUG